UAAGAGCACCCUUAGAUCCAGAUGUUGCCA
rnacentral:piRNA from 1 species